GCAACAGCUGCCAGGUGCAAGGAGCGCCGUUGGCCGUCAUGGAACGGUGAGUGCUGGAGCUCACCGCCAUCAUCAAGCAUUCAGGAGCUGCCUCAGACAUACUGACACCUCCAAAGGAAGAGGAGCUGAAGAGGCGGCACGAGGAUUUGGC